UGGGGGAUAUUGCACAAUGGGCGAAAGCCUGAUGCAGCGACGCCGCGUGGGGGAUGAAGGCCUUCGGGUUGUAAACUUCUUUUGCUCUGAACAAGGCGCACCAUGGGGUGUGUUGAGUGUAGGGGUUGAUUAGCGCCGGCUAACUACGUGCCAGCAGCCGCGGUAAUACGUAGGGCGCGAGCGUUGUCCGGAAUUAUUGGGCGUAAAGGGCUUGUAGGUGGCUGGUUGCGUCUGUCGUGAAAGCUCAUGGCUUAACUGUGGGUUUGCGGUGGGUACGGGCUGGCUUGAGUGCAGUAGGGGAGGCUGGAAUUCCUGGUGUAGCGGCGGAAUGCGCAGAUAUCAGGAGGAAUACCGGUGGCGAAGGCGGGUCUCUGGGCUGUUACUGACACUGAGGAGCGAAAGCAUGGGGAGCGAACAGG
rnacentral:rRNA from 1 species